rnacentral:rRNA from 1 species
UGGGGAAUUUUGGACAAUGGGGGCAACCCUGAUCCAGCCAUGCCGCGUGUGUGAAGAAGGCCUUCGGGUUGUAAAGCACUUUCGGCCGGAACGAAAUCGUCCCUGUUAAUAGCAGGGAUGGAUGACGGUACCGGAAGAAGAAGCACCGGCUAACUACGUGCCAGCAGCCGCGGUAAUACGUAGGGUGCGAGCGUUAAUCGGAAUUACUGGGCGUAAAGUGUGCGCAGGCGGCGUCGCAAGUCGAGUGUGAAAGCCCCGAGCUUAACUUGGGAAUUGCGCUCGAAACUACGGUGCUGGAGUAUGGCAGAGGAAGGUGGAAUUCCACGUGUAGCGGUGAAAUGCGUAGAGAUGUGGAGGAACACCGAUGGCGAAGGCAGCCUUCUGGGCCAAUACUGACGCUCAUGCACGAAAGCGUGGGGAGCAAACAGG